UACGAAGGAUCCAAGCGUCAUCCGGAUUCAUUGGGUUUAAAGGGAGCGUAGGCGGUUUAAUAAGUCAGUGGUGAAAUCCCUCAGCUCAACUGAGGACCUGCCAUUGAUACUGUCGAACUAGAGUACAGAUGACGUUGGCGGAAUGUGUCAUGUAGCGGUGAAAUGCAUAGAUAUGACACAGAACACCGAUUGCGAAGGCAGCUGACGAAACUGAAACUGACGCUGAGGCUCGAAAGUGCGGGGAUCAAACAGG
rnacentral:rRNA from 1 species